rnacentral:lncRNA from 1 species
UCUUAACUGGGGCAAAAAAGUGCAGUUCGAGGCUCUGGAAAACCAGUUUUUUGCACUGCGCUGUCAGGAAGAGGUAGCAGAGGCAGCUGUAUAUGAAUCAGAUCACCUGCUACUCUCAACUGGAGGAAAAAAAAAAAAAAAAGAAAAAAAAAUAGAAAAAUAGUCGGAAAAAUACAUUACAGUCCUACUGGUGGCAGAAAGGUGAGGCUGCAGUUCCUCUGUUGGGCUUUAGGUGGCUGCUCUGCACCACGCGUCCCAACCACAAGACUUUGGGGCACCUCCAAGGGGCUGUGGGUGAUCAGUGGUGAGAAGGAGGGCAGGAAGGCUUAAGCUGCCCUCCCAGGGGCCUUCACCCAGUCCAGGAUCACCUACACUCACACCUCUUCCCCUUCCGCAGCAAUUAUAGGGAAGAAGAUUGAAUGGGAGAAUGGAAGAUAGCAGGGCUUACCUGUGGAAAAAAAUAGAAUGGCAAUGAAGACCACUUCCAAACCAUUCAUCACAGAGCUUUUGCAUGGGCUUCAUAUGCUGCCGUUGUCACUCUGGAAUUGCUGGAUCAGCUUGAAAAAAAUGAAGCGUGUAGAGGUCCUCGUAACAGACAGAAAAGGAGGGGUUUGUGGGAUGAGGCGCAGGCAUGAAAGACACUGGUGGGAGACAAAAACGACAACUGGAUUACAGCUGCCUGCUGGGCAAAUUGCUGGCUGAAAGGACGUCGCUGCAUAUACAGAUGCCUCAGCAUCUACAGUCGCUGUAUGAUCUUUGCAUGAGCAAUGCUAAGGAUGGAGGCUGAAAGAAGAUAGAAACACCCAUCUCUGUUUGAAAGGCAGAACUUCUAGUGAAGCCAAGCAAAAUCUCAUAACCCCAGGGAAACCCUAGAGCCUCCUUGCAGCUCAGCUGACAUCCAGAUAUUUAUGGGCCGUGUAAGAAGAUUCAGGCCACUUUAUCUGCAUCCGCUUUCCUAUUUCACCCUUUCUUUGUGGCUGCUCAGCUUUGAUGGCAAUAUGCUGUUAAACUGCCACUCACUCAGCCUUUUUUUGUGUGCCUCCUUGCCUGGCUUCCAGUCAGUGGUCUUUUCCAUAUCCUACUCCUAUUCCUCCUGCGGAACUGGGACCAUCUCAUGCUGUCCAAAUCCGAGCACUGGGCUGCUAAUAGACACCGCUGAUGUACAAUGGAAGAGCUUCUCCAUAACUCCCUAUCACUAAUCAGUGAGCAUGUUUGACAUCCCGGCAGUGCGGUGCUUCACAACAGCUAUCGAUAGUGCUUCCCCGUGCUGAAGGAAAAUGGGAACCUGCAACACUGGCAUUACAUCACAGGCAGUGGCUGGUUAUUGAUGUCAUCAUUCCUGUCACUUGCCUGAUAUAUACUGCCUGCAGUGACUUACCUCCGAUCUAUAGAGGCUGGCUCCUGGAGGUCUGCCUUCCAGUUAGCAGCGCCGGCGAGCAGCAGCACCUGUGUCUCCACGCCAGACAGCUGGCACGCUCCAUGCAUGCCACCGCGCACCAUCUGUGCCACACAUCACGUGCCAGUUACGUGACUGGGGAGAGUCAGGAGGAAGAAAAAUAUUUGCUUCCAUGAAUCCUCCUACUGAGUAAAGUUCUUGUAGCAGAAGUUUUCCAGUUCCUGAGGAUGCUGCUGACUGCCUUUCCUUUCUUGCUUAAGUCUCCACAGUGCUGAAAAUGAAGUCCAAGAUGUGUGUUCUGCACGUUUGCCAUUGCAACUCGAGGAGACAGAGCUCAGAUGAAGUUCCAGCUAGGCAAGAGACCAAAGUUCACCCUACCCACAGCACUGCAGAUUGCUGCACAGCCCCAUCUUUGUGCACUGGAGAAGCAAAGCACGCGAGGAGGGAGCGCGCUCCCAGCUGCCAGGGGCUGACAACCGAAAGGUGCAAUAUGGGACAAAGCAGAGCACAGAGAGUGAUGUGGGAACGUUAACACUUGUAAGCUAACAGAUGUGCAGGAAUGUCCUCGGCUCGCCAUCGCUUUUCUCUCCAGCAGAAUAUGACUGACAACAGAACACCAGGGAACAGCUGGGUCGAAACGCAUAAUAUUUUCCUGCUAGAGAAGGAUGCUGAUUAGGCUGCGGAGUACCUAAUUGGGUCUUGGCCUUGAAUGAUGGAAAACUAAAGCCAGGAGGAGCACACCAAUGAGCAGCACCAUGUUACCAGCAGAGGUUCGGUGGCUGGAGGAGCGGAACAUUAGCACAUCCCUAAGGCCAGGAAGUUCAUAUGAAGUUUCUGAACCUCCACUUCGGCCCUUAGGGAGAAACAGCCCGGAAAUAAGGUGAAAGUGUUCUGAAAGAAACGAGGAAAUCUCAAAAGGGAAAAAAAAAAAUAGCACAUUAUAGAAAUACUGGUAAAUAAAAUAUAACCAACGAGCAGCAUGGGAAGCAGGUUUAACCCACUACACACCAGCUUUCCUGUAGUGCUAGCCAACUGAAUGCUGAAUGUAGAAUAUCAAGUAUUAUGGCUUAUAUGUAUUACUGCCAUAAAGUGUGAUACGAACAUGAAUCAAUUAAAUUAGAGGAAAAAAUAGUGCACAAAGAACAAAUGUAUGAAGUCAUUGCUCUUUGAGUCCUUUGUAAUAGCUGACCCUGAUGAAAAAUAAAAUAAAAUAACAUAAGGGCAGAGAUUCAACAAGAAAAACAACAUCAAUAUUUAAAAAGUUAGAUUUUGGAAAACUGUUGUGGCUCAAGGGGCUUUUGUUGUACAAUUCUGCAUUCGUGUGACAGAUGCAAUUGCCAGACCUUCCCUUGGUCUACAGGAAACCUGAAAGUGAUCAAUAUUUUAUUGGUACAGAUACGUAAAUUUACCUAGUGCUUUAAAACACCUCUAAGACCAAAUCCAGAGGUGCUGAGGAACUCUACUCUUAGGAGACUGAAGUAGAUGUUGUGUCUUUGGAGCUUCUUGAAACAGUGCUUUACAAAAUCAGAGCUCUUUGUUUCAGAUGCGGACAAUGGCAGUUCCAACCCAACCCAUGACCUCUGCCUUGAAACAUGGUGGGUCAGCCAGGAGGUGAGGAGGUGGGGUAAAGCAGAUGAGCUGGAUGAGGAAUACGGUGACAAACUCCCCAUCUGCUGUUCGCUGUUGGAAGCAUCCAGAGCAAUAUUUGAACUGGUGGGAAGAAGUUGCAGAACAGUGGAGAUCCCACCGCCAUUCAGCCAUGAUGGAGGACGUGUUUUCAGACACAGCCCACUCCUCCUGCCAAUUUGCUGGGGUUGCAGAAGAAAGAGGAGGAAGAGGAGAAGGAGGAGUGGCCAGUGGUGGUGGUUGCUCUGGCUGCAGCAGCUGUGGAGGCCCUGCUAAUACAGUAACUUCCUUAUCUCAGGAAACCCAAGUGGCUCCAACAAGAGAAACAGAGUAGGACAAUCCAGGAGAAGACAGCUGACUGCAGUGUUUACUAGACUGCGGAAUAGACAACUUACAUUGUUAAAAUUGAUCAGAACAUGUUCCACUGGAACUAAGCAGAUAAGAAUUACUUCAUUCUUUUUUGCCCCUGAGCACCCUAGGAGACCUGUGUUGGAUCUGGGCUUUGUCUGCUUGAAAAAGUGGAAGGGUUGACCUGCUGAAGGGAGAGCCACCAAAGCGCUCCAACAUUACUAUGGUCUUAUAAUGCCUGAGACAGAUCACAAGAUUAACUCUUAUAAUCAACAACAAGAUCAUCAAUUUGUACACUAUAUAAAUUAAAGUGCAUGCAUAUAAAUCUGCAACCUUGAAUAAUACUGUCACAGCUUCUGCUUUGUUUGUUUUGUGCAGCUUCUUGCUUUGACCAUUUCUUGCUUUGACCAUGAAUAUGCCUGCUGGGUCUGGUGCAUGAAAUCCCUUCCAAGUCCUCCCUUUUGCUUCACGAUGAUGCAGAAGGUGACUCUUCAGAAGCUCCAGCGGAUGGUGGGACACUGCUGGCUUGUUGACUGUGUGGAAAGCGUAUCACUGGGGAGCACCACGACGAGGAGGUCCUUCCCUCCUCUGCUGCCUCCCCCCUCAGACCCAAAUAAACAAAUAAGCGCUGCCAAGAGCUUUUCAGCUGGUGUCCUUUGCUGCCUUCCCUCCUCAGCCAUCCCCUGCGCUGAAAGCAAUGCUUUCCAGCACGUCUCUUCUCAUUCUUCUGCCUUUGCUCGCUGGUUGUUAUAUCACACUAUUUUUAAUUAUAUCUUGAUUUUCGUAACAUUAUUGUAUGUUGUUAUGUUUCUAGAAUGCAAACGUGAGCGUAAUGGGAUCUAUUUUUCAGAGUUGCCAAAACAAAUUAAGGAAAACGCUCGGCUCUUCCUUUGCCAAAUGUUUUAGUGCUUUUCCGUGAAAGCAAAUCUUAUUUCUAACUGUAUAUUAAGCCUUAAGUAAAUAAUGCAGUCUGUCAGAAGCAAAUUCUAUUGUAAAAGCAGUAACUGUUCCCAGGCUUUGCCUGUGAUGCCCGCACGCUGCUCUGCCCGGGAAGGACUGGGCUAGCAAUGAAUUACUGCUCAUUUCAAUCUGCCUUUCACAGAAACGUCUAACUUUUUUGUUUACACUGGACCCAGAUCCCAUAAAUAUGGAGUAUCUGUUGCGGCCGCUCCACGUCUGCCCAGCGAUUACUUCUGGCGUGUUUGGGAAACAAGACGUCCUUUCUUAACAAAAGACUCAAUCUACAAAGGCCGCAAAACAAAAAUUGAUUAAAGUUGAACCGUAGUAUGAAAGUUUACUUCGGUGUAUCAAAUAGCCCGGUAAGCACUACAUAGCAGCUCAUCUGUAACGGGGGCCAUGGGGUGUCACUGGGCGCAACUGGGACUGCAUGGACAGCUGAACUCCAUGAUUUUGACUAGAGGUGACAGCUGAAAAGCACCAGAAACCCUUGGAAUUUCAGAUCUAUAUAUUACUAUAAAGGAAGAAAAUAAAGUUCCGCUAGUAGAAGACCUUGGAAGGGUGUGUGUCCUGAACAUUUUCCAUUGUGGAGAAACGCAACAAAUAACAAAGUGCAGUCAAAGCUAGCCCUGCUCCGUGAUGAAUUUCAAGGAGCGUGACCAAUAAUCUUCUACUUAUCUUAAAAACCCUAUGGAAGUACUAGACCAGUUCCAACAGAAGUGAGAGCAAACUGUGGGAAAAAAAAAACCCUCACAAAAAAGCCAUCUGUCUGAGAACAACCCGAGAAUCCUAAGUCCACCCAAGUAGUCACUGCGUGUUUUUCUGCACUGCUAAUGGAUUGCAUAUUGUUGAAAAUAUGAAUUACAGAAUAAAUCAGGAGAGAGUGACAAUUACGGGUCCGAUUCUGUUCUUGGCUGCGGUGGCAUUAUUGACCUAAUGUUGUUUUCUGCUAUUGUGGGGCACAUAGGAUAAUUAUCCAAUUUAAGAACAACUCCAGACCGAAGGAGUAAAUGGGAGCUGUCUGAAGGCAGGGACUGCCAGAGGAGCCAGGCUGACAGUCGGUGAGGUUCAGACCACUGUAGGCUGUGGAUUUUCCCAAAGCUUUAUACGCUGCUAUUAACUCUGCCACAUAUACUCCAUGGUAUGAAAUACAUGUCUUAAAUAU